UACAGAGGGUGCGAGCGUUAAUCGGAAUUACUGGGCGUAAAGCGCACGUAGGCGGCUUGGUAUGUCGGGUGUGAAAUCCCCGGGCUCAACCUGGGAACUGCAUCCGAAACUGCCUUGCUCGAGUAUGGGAGAGGGAAGUGGAAUUUCCGGUGUAGCGGUGAAAUGCGUAGAUAUCUGGAGGAACACCGGUGGCGAAGGCGGCAUCCUGGACCGACACUGACGCUGAGGCGCGAAAGCUAGGGGAGCAAACGGG
rnacentral:rRNA from 1 species